CGGACGGGUGAGUAACGCGUGGGUAACCUGCCCUGCACAGGGGGAUAACAGUUAGAAAUGACUGCUAACACCGCAUAAGCGCACGGUAAGGCAUCUUAGUGUGUGAAAAUAUUAAUAGGUACAGGAUGGGCCCGCGUCUGAUUAGCCAGUUGGCAGGGUAACGGCCUACCAAAGCGACGAUCAGUAGCCGGCUUGAGAGAGUGAACGGCCACAUUGGGACUGAGACACGGCCCAAACUCCUACGGGAGGCAGCAG
rnacentral:rRNA from 1 species